rnacentral:rRNA from 1 species
GACGAACGCUGGCGGCGUGCUUAACACAUGCAAGUCGAACGCUGAAGACCUGGCUUUUGUUGGGUUGGAUGAGUAGCGAACGGGUGAGUAACACGUGAGUAACCUGCCCUCUUCUUUGGGAUAACGCCCGGAAACGGGUGCUAAUACUGGAUAUUCACUGAUCUUCGCAUGGGGGUUGGUGGAAAGGUUUGUUCUGGUGGGGGAUGGGCUCGCGGCCUAUCAGCUUGUUGGUGGGGUGAUGGCCUACCAAGGCUUUGACGGGUAGCCGGCCUGAGAGGGUGACCGGUCACAUUGGGACUGAGAUACGGCCCAGACUCCUACGGGAGGCAGCAGUGGGGAAUAUUGCACAAUGGGCGAAAGCCUGAUGCAGCGACGCCGCGUGAGGGAUGGAGGCCUUCGGGUUGUAAACCUCUUUCGCUCAUGGUCAAGCCGCAACUGUGGGUUGUGGUGAGGGUAGUGGGUAAAGAAGCGCCGGCUAACUACGUG